UACGAAGGGGGCUAGCGUUGCUCGGAAUUACUGGGCGUAAAGCGCACGUAGGCGGCUCUUUAAGUCGGGGGUGAAAUCCUGGAGCUCAACUCCAGAACUGCCUUCGAUACUGAAGAGCUCGAGUCCGGGAGAGGUGAGUGGAACUGCGAGUGUAGAGGUGAAAUUCGUAGAUAUUCGCAAGAACACCAGUGGCGAAGGCGGCUCACUGGCCCGGUACUGACGCUGAGGCACGAAAGCGUGGGGAGCAAACAGG
rnacentral:rRNA from 1 species